ensembl:lncRNA
UUCUGCAGCACAGCUCCCUUCCCAGGACGUGAGAGUCUGCCUUCUCACCAUGAGGCUUCUAAUCCUUUCCAGCCUGCUUUGCAUCCUGCUUCUCUGCUUCUCCGUCUUCUCCACAGAAGGAAAGAGGCGUCAUGCCAAGCCCUGGCCAGGCAAGAGAGCCAGGCUCUGCUGCCACAGAGUCCCUAGCCCCAACUUGACAAACCCGAAAGGACAUCAUGUGAGACUCUGCAAACCAUGCAAGCUUGAGCCAGAGCCCCUCCCUUGGGUGGUGCCUGGGGCACUCCCACAGGUGUAGCACUCCCAAAGCAAGACUCCAGACAGCGGAGACCCUCACACCUGGCACCUGAGGUACCCAGCAGCCUCCUGUCUCCCCUUUCAGCCUUCACAACAGUGAGCUACAAUGUUGGAGGGCUUCAUCUUGGGCUGCAAGGACCCUGGGAAAGUUCAAGAACUGCAUGUCCUUGUCUCAAUUGUGCCAUCAACUUUCAGAGCUAUCAUGAGCCAACCUCAGCCACAGGGCCUCAGUCGCCACCACGUGGGUCUGUCCAGUGCAAACAGCCGAGCAUUCCACCAUGACUGGUCACAGCUACACAUCCAGAGACCAUCAAUCCUGCUAGGGUGCAGGGUAGCAAGCACCCAAGGGUGGCUGACUAAGACUGCAGAGUCUCCUCCAUCUUCAGGUCCAUUCAGCCUCCUGGCAUUUAACCACCAGCAUCCAGUGACCCCCCAAGGAAUCCCCUCCUAGCCUCCUGACAUGAGUCUGCUGGAAAGAACACCCAAACAAACAAGUAAUAAAUAAAUCAAUCAACUCAAUGCAGACACAUCCUUGUUUGACAAGGUCAGUGAUAGAGCCUGAGGCACAACUUUCUGCUAGAACAAACCUGUCCCUAAAGCCUUCCCUGCAGGCCACUCUUGGCCACAACACAAUGUAACUAUGUGAGGAACAGGGACAGAGUCCCUGGGUCUGGCACAUCAGGGCUUGAAGCCCUGCCCUGCUAAGGGUGUUUUGUGUGAGCUGAGCAUGUUGGGUCUUUUCUAGAAAACUGAGAUUACAGGACCUACUCAGAGGGCAAAUAGCCAGGUGUGAAGUGCCCGCAAAGGGCCUGGCACACCGAGGGACUUGGUUCAGGGAAAUCCUUGCCUCUCCUUCCCCAUCCUGGGGGAGGGUGUUUAUGCCCACGGUGAACACAGCGCUGCAGGGCUGAGGCUCAGAGAGCACAGAUGGCUCAGGUCUGAGCAGCUUAUCUCUCAACAAAGCUCCCUUCUAAUCCGAUUCUCACAGCAAGGUUGGAAGCCCCAUCGCUGCACCCUCCACAGCCGCGUAGGAGAACGCCAGGCCCCCUCUGGGCUGAUGGGCAGAGGUUCCCUGGCCCAGGGCUCUGGGGACAGUGGUACCCAGGGCAAGUCAGAGUCUGUCUUGUCACAGGCCAGACUUUUCACAUCCCUUCCGUAUGUUCCACUCUCAGGCUCACUCAUUCACUCACUCGUUCCCAGGCUCUGCAGUGCUGUGUUCACCACGGGCAUAAACACCCCUUCAGGUGGAGCAGGGGAGGCGGGGACUUCCCUGAACCCAGCCCCUCUGUGCUCCAGGCCCUUUGCUGCACUUCACACCUGCCUACUUGCCCUCUGAGCAGGUCCUCUAAUCUCCAUGUUCAUCUAUCCCGGGGUAGUAAUUGUCAGGCCCUGAGCUGGGUUCUGAGGCUCGGAGAUGAACGAAUAUGGUCCCUGAUGUCUGAGAGGCAAUCAUUUGUUCCACAAAGUUGUGGGCACCCAGGUAAGAACAGAGGGCUGGGACUGUAGGAGAAGGAGUGGAAGAUGAGAGGGAAUGCAAAGACUGCUCAAACUUAGCAGAGGCCAGCCAGAGAAGGGGCGCAGGGUGUGUGUGUGUGUGUGUGUGUGUGUGUGUGGUGUGCAGAGGGGUGUGGAGGACGUGGGAGGUGUAGGGGGGUUUGUGUGGUGUAUGUGGUGAAUGGUGUGUGUGUAUGGUGUGCAAUGUGUGUGCGUGAUGUGUAUGUGAGGGUAUAGGAUGUGUAUAUGUGAUGUGUGUGUCAUGUGUGCUGUGUGUGUGACAGUAUGGACUUUGUGGUGUGUGUGCAAUAUGUAUGUCUCUAGCGUGUGUGUAGUUUAUACAGUGUGUGUGAUGUGUGUUGUGGAUGUGUGGUAGAUGGUGGAUGUGUGGUUUGCAGUAUGUAUGGUAUGUGUGCAUGUGGCAUGUGUAAUGUGUGGUGUGUGGUGUAUGUGUGUAAUAUGUUGUGUGUUGUGUGUGGUGUGUGUGAUAUGUGGUGUAUGGUUGUAUGUGUGGUGUGUAUUUGUGAUGUGUAUGAUGUGUGGUGUGUGUGAUGCAUUUGUAUGGUGUGUGGUUUGUGUGUGGGUUAUUUGUGUGUGUAUGGUGUGUGGUGUUUGUGUGAUGCAUGUGUGUGUUGGGGCAUGUGGUUUGUGUGUGUGUGUGGUGUAUGUGUGCUGUAUGGUGGAUGUGUGGUUUGUGGAUAUCGUUUGUGGUAUGUAUGGUGUGUGUGUGGCAUGUGUGAUGUGUGGUGUGUGUGGUGUAUGUGUGUAAUGUGUGUGGUGUGUUGUGUGCGUUGUGUGUGAUGCAGUGUGUGAAUGUGGUGUGUGGUUGUGUGUGUGAUGCAUUUGUGUGGUGUGUUUGUGUCUGUGGUGUCUGUGUGAUUGUGUGUGUGUGUGUGUUGGAGUGUGUGGUGAGGGGUGUGUGUGUGUGGUGUGUGUGUAUGUGUGUGCUGGGGUGAAGUAAGGAUGUAGCAAGGGCCAGGCAGGAAGCAUGAGUGUUGAAGGAGAAGUCAGCAACUGGACAGCAGCAUCAGGACAAAAGGGAAGCAGAGGGUUCAGCCGGGACCUAGGGAAGGGCCUGGAAAGUUCUCAGUGUUUGGGGUUUAUCUUAAGAGCAAUGAAAAACCAGAGAUUCAGUAAGCAGGAGAGAAUGCCAUGAGAGAGGGCCAUUAAGAGACAGAAGGAAGGGAGCUGAGGCAGGAGUGGCAAGUGUGGCACCAAGGGCCAAGGCUAGGGUGUUCAGAACAGCAGUGGAGAGGCUUUGGAGACGUGUUAGCUGCGGGGCUAACAGGUCCACACUGGGAACUCCGUGCUGUGUCAGACCCUCACCAGGAGCUCCUUUGGCAAGGUGGAUCACCUAGCAGCAAUGCAAGAGCUGGCCAUUUCUGUGUCCUUCUCUCCCUUCUCUCUUCUCCACCCCAAGCCCAAAAAGUAAAGAAAAAACCUACAGACAAAAAAAUUAAACAUGUGUGCUGGAGAGUCAACCAAAAGGAAGACUCAAAGGCUGUGUUCCCCACUGAUGAGCUGACCUCCUUCUGGGAACCAUGGAGAGGAAGGGGAGCAAGAGUUCUAGAAGCCUCAGCCUCUGUGAGGGGUGCAGGUGAGGAAGACCAGAUAUUUAAUACACGCGAAUAAAAGGAAGACACAGCCUGGCCUGUGGGAAAGAAGGAGCACCUUCUCUGAGGGCCAGGAUUGCAGGGUCACGGCUGUGAGCCACUCACAGUGAAAUGGUGCUGCAAAGAGGCUGGCCUUGGGCCAUAUGAGCUGUAUGAGCAGCGACUCCAAGACCCCAAGAGGCCCUCAAGGGACACCAGCCCCUCAAAACAGCCUAGGUCAAAGGUGAGAACAUAAAAGGAGCAGAGGACCCUGCACCUGCUCCACCCCAGCCUGUCCUAUCUGCCCUUCUGAGGAGGGACGGAAAGCCUGUGAUGGGUUCCCAGGCCAACAGAGAUGCUCAUGCAGAGCUAGAGGGCCGUGGCUCCUUGGGAGCAGGUGCUGCUUCCCUCAGAAAUGCCAAAAACUUUCCUUCCCACUCUCACUGACCACCUUCAAAAUUUGCAACAUGCAGCCAGGCGCGGUGGCUCACGCCUGUAAUCCCAGCACUUUGGGAGGCCGAGGUGGGCAGAUCAUGAGGUCAGGAGAUAAAGACCAUCCUGGCUAACACGGUGAAACCCUGUCUCUACUUAAAAUACAAAAAAUUAGCCGGGCGUGGUGGCAGGUGCCUGUAGUCCCAGCUACUCAGGGGGAGGCUGAGGCAAGAGAAUGGCAGGAACCUGGGAGGCGGAGCUUGCAGUGAGCCGAGAUCACACCACUGCACUCCCUUCUGGGUGACAAAGCGAGACUCCGGCUCAAAAAAAAAAAAAAA